rnacentral:rRNA from 1 species
AAACUUUCAACAACGGAUCUCUUGGYUCUGGCAUCGAUGAAGAACGCAGCGAAAUGCGAUACGUAAUGUGAAUUGCAGAAUUCAGCGAACCAUCGAAUCUUUGAACGCACAUUGCGCCCGCCAGCAUUCUGGCGGGCAUGCCUGUCCGAGCGUCAUUU